rnacentral:pre_miRNA from 1 species
AUAGUACUCUCUCCGUUCGGAAUUACUUGUCGCACAAAUGGAUGUAUUUAGAUGUAUUUUAAUUCUAGAUACAUCCAUUUCCGAGACAAGUAAUUCCGAACGGAGGGAGUAGUAA